CCUACGGGAGGCAGCAGUGAGGAAUAUUGGUCAAUGGGCGCGAGCCUGAACCAGCCAAGUAGCGUGAAGGAUGACUGCCCUACGGGUUGUAAACUUCGUUUAUAAAGGAAUAAAGUGAGGCACGUGUGCCUUUUUGGAUGUACGUUAUGAAUAAGGAUCGGCUAACUCCGUGCCAGCAGCCGCGGUAAUACGGAGGAUCCGAGCGUUAUCCGGAUUUAUUGGGGUUAAAGGGAGCGUAGAUGGGUUGUUAAGUCAGUUGUGAAAGUUUGCGGCUCACCCGUAAAAUUGCAAUUGAUACUGGCAGUCUUGAGUACAGUUGCGGUCGGCGGAAUUCGUGGUGUAGCGGUGACAUGCU
rnacentral:rRNA from 1 species